CCCGGGUGCAGACAUGGCACCGCUUGGCUAAGCCAUACUGUGUUACCAAGACUCCCUGGGUGGCAGCAAAAAAGUCAACAAGGAAAUAAAACUCCACCACCUGGCGUAUUAGUUGGGGAUAAAGCUAUACACAGGGACUGAGCCUAUUGUGCCGCGUUUUUGAAAUGAUCACAUGAAAGGGUGAGAAAUCUGGAAGCCAUACAGAUUGAUGUAUACACAGACCAUUUUGACAUAGACUCAGCCUAGAAAGAAGCCAUGAAUUCAAAAUGCAGCAAGCCAAUGCAUUCUUUCCUCUCAGUGCUGGCCAAACAGAGGGCGAAGUACUAGACGGAAGAUUCUAGGAGAGAAAGACAAGUAAAGCAUGAACGAGCCAAGGUGCGGAGGAUGCUCAUUAAUCCUCAGGCUCCAGCAACGGCGGUGAGUUGUCUAGAAUUCUUCCACUG
rnacentral:lncRNA from 1 species